CUCCUACGGGAGGCAGCAGUGGGGAAUAUUGCACAAUGGGGGAAACCCUGAUGCACCAACGCCGCGUGAGUGAAGAAGGCUUUCGGUAUGUAAAGCUCUAUCAGCAGGAAAGAAUAAUGACAGUACCUGACUAAGAAGCCCACGGCUAACUACGUGCCACGCAGCCGCUGUAAUACGUAUGGGGCACGCGUUAUCCGGAUUUACUGGGUGUAAAGGGAGCGCAAACGGUUUUGCAAGUAUGAAGUGAAAUCCCGGGGCUUAACCCCGGUACUGCUUUGGAAACUGCAAGACUAGAGUGCCGGAGAGGUAAGCGGAAUUCCUAGUGUAGCGGUGAGAUGCGUAGAUAUUAGGAGGAACACCAGUGGCGAAGGCGGCUACUGGACUGUAACGGACGUUAAGGCUAGGAAGCGUGGUGAGCAAACAGGCUUAUAUUCCGUGGUAGUGCACGCCGUACACUAUGACUACUAGGUGUUGGUGGGUACGUCCCAUUGGUCGCGCAGCGCACGCAAUAAGUAAUCCACCUGGGGAGUGCGUUCGCAAGAAUCUAACUCUAAGAAAUAUACGGGGAGGCGCGCAAUAGGUGGAGCAUGUGGUUUAAUUGCAAGCAACGCGAAGAACCCUAAGUGGUAGUGACAUCCCUAUGAAUACCGGUCAAUGCCGUUAGUCCUUCGGUACAUAGGAGCCAGUGUGGUGCAUGGCAGUGGUCAGCUUGUGUCGUGAGGUGUUGGGUUAAGUCCAGCAACGAGCGCAACCAUUAUCUAUAGUAGCCAUCAGUAAUAUGGGCUAUCUAGAGACACGGGCGGGCAUAACCCGCAGGAAGGUGGGGAUGCCGUCAAAUCAUCAGGCCCCUUAUGGCCAGGGCUACGCGCGUGCUACAAUGGUGUGAUCAAAGAGAAGCGCAGUCGUGAGGCAGAGCUAAUCUCAAAAAUAUCGUCUCAGUUCGGAUUGUAGUGAGCAACUAGCCUACAUGAAGCUGGAAUCGCUAGUAAUUCCAGAUCAGAAUCAUGCGGUGAAUACGUUCCCGGGUCCUGUACACACCACA
rnacentral:rRNA from 1 species